GACGAACGCUGGCGGCGUGCUAUACACAUGCAAGUCGAACGAGUGGCGGACGGGUGAGUAAUGCUUGGGAAUCUAGCUUAUGGCGGGGGAUAACUACGGGCAAGGGUAGCUAAUACCGCAUACCAUCGGAGGGGCCCAUCUGGGAUUAGGUAGUGGGUGAGGUAAAGGCUCACCAAGCCGACGAUCUCUAGCUGGUCUGAGAGGAUGACCAGCCACACGGCGACUGAGACACGGCCCAGACUCCGACGGGAGGCAGCAGUGGGGAAUAUUGCGCAAUGGGGGCAACCUGACGCAGCCAUGCCGCGUGAAUGAAGAAGGCCGUAGGGGUGUAAAGUUCUUUCGGUCGCGAGGCGUUAACUACAGAAGAAGCACCGGCUAACUCCGGGCCAGCCGCCGCGGUAAUAC
rnacentral:rRNA from 1 species